AACUGACCUUAGCCGUCCCUCAUAACUGAGCCAGUAAGAUCCCCUUUUGUUGUUGUUGUUGUUGAAUCUCUGUGAGUUGGAACCCAAAGCAAACUACAGAGCUGCCUAGGAGAUCCUUUGGAGGGUGGAGUGUAACUUCCUGCAGACUUGACUGGCUUCUGGGAAGUGAGAAAGAGGGCUUUAUAGAUGGAAGAAAUUUACUGAGGUAUGCUCCUCCCAUACUAACAGUUAUGAGACAGAAAGAAGAGAACUUGGGGAGUCCAUAAAAGUUGAUGUAGAAGACUGAAGGAUGUGAUCAUUUCCCAAAGCGGAGGACGUCCUGACAGGGCAACUGUAGCAGGUACCCCUGGUAUUCAUAAUCUGCGCUAGGAACUCACUUGCUGGUGGGUUAUGUCUGUGAGAUAAGGCAUGGCUGGACAAUAAAAGGCCACUGGGCUUCCA
rnacentral:lncRNA from 12 species